rnacentral:lncRNA from 1 species
GUUCGUUCUUCAGUGGCCUUCGACAUUGCAAUGAAAAUAUUUUUUUUGUCAUCAGUCUUCUUAAGAACUUGCUUUUUAGGCUUGAUCUCAUUCUUCUACUUCUUUAUGAACUUUUUCUUCUUCUUGAAAGAAGACUUUCUUUUGAAGGAAGUCCACUCCACAGCUAGAACUGUGCCCCUUGAACUCUUCAAGAUGCCUUCUGCAGUCACCAGCAUAUUCAAUAACUCUGACAAAGUAGCAUUGAUUUUAUUCAUAUGGUAGUUCAUGAUGAACUGUCCAUAUAAAUCAGGAAG